rnacentral:rRNA from 1 species
CCUACGGGUGGCAGCAGUGGGGAAUAUUGCACAAUGGGGGAAACCCUGAUGCAGCAACGCCGCGUGAAGGAAGAAGGUUUUCGGAUUGUAAACUUCUGUUCUUAGUGAAGAAUAAUGACGGUAGCUAAGGAGCAAGCGACAGCUAACUCCGCGCCAGCAGCCGCGGUAAAACGUAGGGGGCAAGCGUUGUCCGGAAUUACUGGGUGUAAAGGGAGCGCAGGCGGGAAGGCAAGUCAGCUGUGAAAACUACGGGCUUAACUUGUAGACUGCAUUUGAAACUGGUUUUCUUGAGUGCAGUAGAGGUUAGCGGAAUUCCGGGUGUAGCGGUGAAAUGCGUAGAUAUUCGGAGGAACACCGGUGGCGAAGGCGGCCAACUGGGCUUUAACUGACGCUGAGGCUCGAAAGUGUGGGGAGCAAACAGGAUUAGAUACCCUAGUAGUC